GCUCGAGUGGCGAACGGGUGAGUAACACGUGAGUAACCUGCCCUUGACUUUGGGAUAACUUCAGGAAACUGGGGCUAAUACCGGAUAGGAGCUCCUGCUGCAUGGUGGGGGUUGGAAAGUUUCGGCGGUUGGGAAUGGACUCGCGGCUUAUCAGCUUGUUGGUGGGGUAGUGGCUUACCAAGGCUUUGACGGGUAGCCGGCCUGAGAGGGUGACCGGCCACAUUGGGACUGAGAUACGGCCCAG
rnacentral:rRNA from 1 species